CCUACGGGUGGCAGCAAUCGAGAAUCAUUCACAAUGGGGGAAACCCUGAUGGUGCGACGCCGCGUGGGGGAAUGAAGGUCUUCGGAUUGUAAACCCCUGUCAUGUGGGAGCAAAUUAAAAAGAUAGUACCACAAGAGGAAGAGACGGCUAACUCUGUGCCAGCAGCCGCGGUAAUACAGAGGUCUCAAGCGUUGUUCGGAAUCACUGGGCGUAAAGCGUGCGUAGGCUGUUUCGUAAGUCGUGUGUGAAAGGUGCGGGCUCAACCCGCGGACGGCACAUGAUACUGCGAGACUAGAGUAAUGGAGGGGGAACCGGAAUUCUCGGUGUAGCAGUGAAAUGCGUAGAUAUCGAGAGGAACACUCGUGGCGAAGGCGGGUUCCUGGACAUUAACUGACGCUGAGGCACGAAGGCCAGGGGAGCGAAAGGGAUUAGAUACCCGGGUAGUC
rnacentral:rRNA from 1 species